CCUUAGUAGUGGCGAGCGAACGGGGAUUAGCCCUUAAGCUUCAUUGAUUUUAGCGGAACGCUCUGGAAAGUGCGGCCAUAGUGGGUGAUAGCCCCGUACGCGAAAGGAUCUUUGAAGUGAAAUCGAGUAGGACGGAGCACGAGAAACUUUGUCUGAACAUGGGGGGACCAUCCUCCAAGGCUAAAUACUACUGACUGACCGAUAGUGAACCAGUACCGUGAGGGAAAGGCGAAAAGAACCCCGGAGAGGGGAGUGAAAUAGAACCUGAAACCGUAUGCGUACAAGCAGUGGGAGCCUACUUGUUAGGUGACUGCGUACCUUUUGUAUAAUGGGUCAGCGACUUAUAUUCAGUGGCAAGCUUAACCGUAUAGGGUAGGCGUAGCGAAAGCGAGUCUUAAUAGGGCGUUUAGUCGCUGGGUAUAGACCCGAAACCGGGCGAUCUAUCCAUGAGCAGGUUGAAGGUUAGGUAACACUGACUGGAGGACCGAACCCACUCCCGUUGAAAAGGUAGGGGAUGACUUGUGGAUCGGAGUGAAAGGCUAAUCAAGCUCGGAGAUAGCUGGUUCUCCUCGAAAGCUAUUUAGGUAGCGCCUCAUGUAUCACUCUGGGGGGUAGAGCACUGUUUCGGCUAGGGGGUCAUCCCGACUUACCAAACCGAUGCAAACUCCGAAUACCCAGAAGUGCCGAGCAUGGGAGACACACGGCGGGUGCUAACGUCCGUCGUGAAAAGGGAAACAACCCAGACCGCCAGCUAAGGUCCCAAAGUUGUGGUUAAGUGGUAAACGAUGUGGGAAGGCUUAGACAGCUAGGAGGUUGGCUUAGAAGCAGCCAUCCUUUAAAGAAAGCGUAAUAGCUCACUAGUCGAGUCGGCCUGCGCGGAAGAUGUAACGGGGCUCAAACCACACACCGAAGCUGCGGGUGUCACGUAAGUGACGCGGUAGAGGAGCGUUCUGUAAGCCUGUGAAGGUGAGUUGAGAAGCUUGCUGGAGGUAUCAGAAGUGCGAAUGCUGACAUGAGUAACGACAAUGGGUGUGAAAAACACCCACGCCGAAAGACCAAGGGUUCCUGCGCAACGUUAAUCGACGCAGGGUUAGUCGGUUCCUAAGGCGAGGCUGAAAAGCGUAGUCGAUGGGAAACAGGUUAAUAUUCCUGUACUUCUGGUUACUGCGAUGGAGGGACGGAGAAGGCUAGGCCAGCUUGGCGUUGGUUGUCCAAGUUUAAGGUGGUAGGCUGAAAUCUUAGGUAAAUCCGGGGUUUCAAGGCCGAGAGCUGAUGACGAGUCGUCUUUUAGAUGACGAAGUGGUUGAUGCCAUGCUUCCAAGAAAAGCUUCUAAGCUUCAGGUAACCAGGAACCGUACCCCAAACCGACACAGGUGGUCGGGUAGAGAAUACCAAGGCGCUUGAGAGAACUCGGGUGAAGGAACUAGGCAAAAUGGCACCGUAACUUCGGGAGAAGGUGCGCCGGCUAGGGUGAAGGAUUUACUCCGUAAGCUCUGGCUGGUCGAAGAUACCAGGCCGCUGCGACUGUUUAUUAAAAACACAGCACUCUGCAAACACGAAAGUGGACGUAUAGGGUGUGACGCCUGCCCGGUGCCGGAAGGUUAAUUGAUGGGGUUAGCGCAAGCGAAGCUCUUGAUCGAAGCCCCGGUAAACGGCGGCCGUAACUAUAACGGUCCUAAGGUAGCGAAAUUCCUUGUCGGGUAAGUUCCGACCUGCACGAAUGGCGUAACGAUGGCGGCGCUGUCUCCACCCGAGACUCAGUGAAAUUGAAAUCGCUGUGAAGAUGCAGUGUAUCCGCGGCUAGACGGAAAGACCCCGUGAACCUUUACUGUAGCUUUGCACUGGACUUUGAGCCUGCUUGUGUAGGAUAGGUGGGAGGCUUUGAAGCGUGGACGCCAGUUCGCGUGGAGCCAUCCUUGAAAUACCACCCUGGCAUGCUUGAGGUUCUAACUCUGGUCCGUGAUCCGGAUCGAGGACAGUGUAUGGUGGGCAGUUUGACUGGGGCGGUCUCCUCCUAAAGAGUAACGGAGGAGUACGAAGGUGCGCUCAGACCGGUCGGAAAUCGGUCGCAGAGUAUAAAGGCAAAAGCGCGCUUGACUGCGAGACAGACACGUCGAGCAGGUACGAAAGUAGGUCUUAGUGAUCCGGUGGUUCUGUAUGGAAGGGCCAUCGCUCAACGGAUAAAAGGUACUCCGGGGAUAACAGGCUGAUACCGCCCAAGAGUUCAUAUCGACGGCGGUGUUUGGCACCUCGAUGUCGGCUCAUCACAUCCUGGGGCUGAAGCCGGUCCCAAGGGUAUGGCUGUUCGCCAUUUAAAGUGGUACGCGAGCUGGGUUUAGAACGUCGUGAGACAGUUCGGUCCCUAUCUGCCGUGGACGUUUGAGAUUUGAGAGGGGCUGCUCCUAGUACGAGAGGACCGGAGUGGACGAACCUCUGGUGUUCCGGUUGUCACGCCAGUGGCAUUGCCGGGUAGCUAUGUUCGGAAAAGAUAACCGCUGAAAGCAUCUAAGCGGGAAACUUGCCUCAAGAUGAGAUCUCACUGGGAACUUGAUUCCCCUGAAGGGCCGUCGAAGACUACGACGUUGAUAGGCUGGGUGUGUAAGCGUUGUGAGGCGUUGAGCUAACCAGUACUAAUUGCCCGUGAGGCUUGACCAU
rnacentral:rRNA from 1 species